rnacentral:rRNA from 1 species
UGGAAACCAGGGGAUAGAUACCCUAGUAUUCAUUACUGAAAAGCUGAAGCUAAAGUAGUAACAGUUGUGCUCUUGAAAUUUAAAGGAUUUGGCGGUUUUCUAGUCAAGUUAGAGGAACCUGUCCUAUAAUCGAUAAUACACGAAUUAUCUUACCUCAUCUAGUAUGUUAAGACAACAACAGUUUGUAUACCGCCAUCUUAAAAUAGCUUUAAUAAAAGUCGUUGAAAUAGGUUUUCCUAGGAAGUUAGGUCAUGGUGCAGCUUAUGGUGCAGGUUGAGAUGGGUUACAAUUUUUGUAAAAAAAAACGGAUAAAGAAAAGAAUUUUUUUUUGAAGGCGGAUUUAACAGUAAUAUAUGUUUAAUAAGCAUAUAUGAUGUAUGCUCUAGAAAAUGUACAUAUCCCCCGUCGCAUA